CGCGGCCUAUCAGCUUGUUGGCGAGGUAACGGCUCACCAAGGCAACGACGGGUAGCUGGUCUGAGAGGAUGGCCAGCCACAUUGGGACCGAGAUACGGCCCAGACUCCUACGGGAGGCAGCAGUGGGGAAUCUUGCGCAAUGGCCUAACGGCUGACGCAGCGACGCCGCGUGUGGGAUGAAGCUCCUCGGAGUGUAAACCACUGUUGCCCGGGACGAAUAGCUCGAUUAAUCGAGCCUGACGGUACCGGGUGAGGAGGCACCGGCUAACUCCGUGCCAGCAGCCGCGGUAAUACGGGGGGUGCGAGCGUUGUCCGGAAUCACUGGGCGUAAAGGGCGCGUAGGUGGUUUGAUAAGGGUGUGGUGAAAGUCCGGGGCUCAACCCCGGAUCUGCCGUGCCGACUGUCAAACUCGAGGGCUGUAGAGGCAGACGGAAUUCCGGGUGUAGCGGUGGAAUGCGUAGAGAUCCGGAGGAGGACCGGUGGCGAAGGCGGUCUGCUGGGCAGUUUCUGACACUGAUGCGCGACAGCGUGGGGAGCAAACAGGAUUAGAUACCCUGGUAGUCCACGCCGUAAACGAUGGGUACUAGGUGCCUGGGGGAGCGACCCUCUGGGUGCCGGCGCUAACGCAGGA
rnacentral:rRNA from 1 species